AUAAUUCCCUGAUUGCCCGUGAAUCUUAAUCAACGUUGCAAAUGUCACUGGAUCAAUGCGCCAUUUCUCUGUCCUAGCGCGGUCAUACAAGCUAAAAGCCUUGUCAACAUUACCGGCACGGCCAUAUGCAUCAAUCAUAGCCGAAUAGGUAACAUCAUCAGGACUACACCCGUAACUAGGCAUCUUCUCAAACCACUCCACAGCCUUAUCAGGCAGAUAACACAUCCUAGCACAGCUAAUCAUAGUCGAAAACGUAACAUUAUCAGGUGUAACACCUCUCUCAAUCAUCUCAUUAAACAGCUUCUCUGCUCUCACUAAAUCCUUACACUUUCUAAACACUUUCAAUGUCACAUUGUAGAGAACCACUUCCCUCUUAGGUUUAAACCUCUGCUGAAAGUACUUUAGAGCAAGUAAUGCAUUUUCGGGGUUAACCAUGGUAUUAAGAACAACGACAGCAUCUUGUUCCAAUACCCCAUCACCCAAAGUCUUUAAAAUAUCAACAACAUCACUUUCACUUAGGCCGACAGAGUUCAAGGACUCAGCUACUUUGACUAAAGAAGUGUACCUGGAAUCGUAGGACUUGUUCCUAAGAUGAGAAGCUCUGGGGCUUCUGGGAUUGACCCAAACAUAGCUUUUGGAGGAAGACUCGGAAUUUCCAUCGGGGUUUUCAGUUUUUGGGGUUUCUUGUAAAGAAACAUGGUUUAUUUGGAGAGAAAUUCUGGAGUGAAGAGUAGGGAAGGUGUGAGUAUCAGAGGUGGUUGGCCUGAGCCUUCUAGAGGAGGAGAGAGAGUGAGAGAGAAAGAGAGAGGAGGGUGUGGAGGAUACAUGAUAAGCCAUUGUUUCCCUCUUUGUUUUGCGUCUGUGACUAUCAGGACUGAAGAGAGAGAUGAGGUUUAAUGGUCUAUGCUGUGGUGAGGGUACAUGGUUCGUUAUGGUGUUUCCUGGUUCUCCACCGUAGGAUAUGUGGGAUCGGCGUAUGAUUGUAGUUUAUCUUUAGUUUUUUUUUUUUUUAAAUGGUGGGCCUCGCAGCCCGCAAUGGAUCCGCCACACAUUGACCACCUAGCCCUGUAUGGUCUCCGCUUGGCCCAAAGAAAUAAUUUUUUUCUUUUGUAUUCUAUUUCUUUCUUUUUUAAAUGAUGGCCCCGUAUUUUGCAGACCGCCUAACCCCACAUGGUCUCCACCAAACACAUAUAAAUUAUUUUUUUUAAUAUUUUUUUUCCUCUUAAUAUCUGGGAUGAAACCUUUGCCGGCCUUGUUAUUGUUGUUUUGCAGCCGACUUCUCCGUCUCCGCCGUGUAAUUGGACAGCGGCUAUGGUCAUAUGUCUAAACUUAACAUGUAUGUGCUGAAUUGAAGUUUCUGAGUCAGAAGGUUGUUAAGAGUCAUCGAGGCAGGUAUUACUGCCGUAUAUAUAUAUUAGUUGAUUUGUUUAGUUUCCGAGUUGAUUGUUAAGGAUUGGCCCAGAUUUCACUGAAACUCUUAGGAAUGACUAGAAUCUAGUUAAACAUGCAGUUGCCCACUUGCCCUCAUCGACCUUGUGAGAAUGUGAGUGAAAGCAGCUUCCAGUGUUCCAUUUGAGCCAUAAGUUGGGCCAUUCUGCAACGGUCACCUUCGAUCACCAAUCAUAUCCACCAUUGAUCACCAAUCAUACUUUAUUAUUUACUUUUGUUCUAUAUAUAAAAAACAACACCAACUUUAACGUACGUUGUAAAAAUGGAGAUCGAUCGAGCUGGAAGCAGCUUUCCCACAAAGUACAGUAGCAGGUCAAGGCAGGUAUACAGACAUGAUCGAUUUUACAUGAUGGCGCACGCUUGGGGAUUUUCUUCACCGAAACAAUCGGGGCGUGUCAUGCAGUAACUACUAGUGGCAUAGCUCCUCCCACCGCCGUAACUAUCAUACACUGGCCCACCGUAACCAUACCCAGUUUGGCAGGGACCACCCGGAUGCCCUCCGUAACAAUCCAUACAACACUCGCUCACCGUCACCGGAGGGUAAGCCGGAACCAGAAACAGAACCGGCUCUUCCUUCGGCUUCUCUGCCUUCUUGGGUUCGUCUUUAGGCCUUUCAGCCUCCUUCGGUGUCCCUUUAGGCUUGUCAGCAUCUAUUGGUUUCUUUUUAGGCUCCUCUUUCUUCUUCUCCUCUGGUUUCGCUUUAGGCUUCUCCUCCUUUGGUUUCUCUUUGGGCUUCUCGGGCUCUUUGAUGUCGAUGCUCUUGAUGGCGCCACCUCCUUUGCAGCAUAGCUUGUCUCUGAUCUUCUCAGGACUGCAGCAGACCACCUUGAUGAUCACCUGGUUGUUCUUCUCGUCGUACGUCUGGUCUCGUAUUUCUCUUGUUCACAAAAUCCAACCAAUACCAGAAACCACACUCAAUUUACGUUUUUUUGUUUUCUCUGCUAAAAUACACAACGUACCAGAAUGGAAGAGAAAAGAAGAAACUCACGAGGGAAUUUACAGAGAACUUUCUUAACCUUCUUGUAGCAUUUUUCACACUGAAGGUCCACCUUCAGAACCAUUAUCGUCACCUGAUGACAUUAAUACAAUCAUUUUUGCAGAAAUUAGAUAGGUAUAGAGAAUGGUUAAUUACUUCUUCUUCUUUUUUAUGUAGAAGAAGAAGUGAGUAAUUAAGAAUGGAUCGAAGAUGAUUUGAAGAUCGAUGAGGAAUCGAAUCGAUCUCUGUGUUUCUGACAGAAGAAUGAUGAGUCGGGUAUAGGCGACAAAUUGAAGAAGAAAGAGCCAAAAGCUUGAGAAUUAAAAAGUGAGGAGCAGCAGCCACAAAAAAUAAAAAUUGAGAGGAGCAGAUUUGAUGCAAUGGGCAAUCAAUCUACUUAUCUAUAUGAUGAGGAAAAAGAGCUGGAAAAGCAUAAACAACUUUCUAGUAGCUAAUGUUAAGAAAGAAAUACCUUUUUUUCCCCCAUUGUUGCAGCAGUGAGAUGGGAUCUGAUGUUCUUUGUGAACGGAACCUCCCAGCUAAAAUGAUUGAAUAGGACGGGAGUCAGUGACCCGAGUUGGCAUAUAAAUUGAGCAGCUGGCGGNNNNNNNNNNNNNNNNNNNNNNNNNNNNNNNNNNNNNNNNNNNNNNNNNNNNNNNNNNNNNNNNNNNNNNNNNNNNNNNNNNNNNNNNNNNNNNNNNNNNNNNNNNNNNNNNNNNNNNNNNNNNNNNNNNNNNNNNNNNCUCUCUCUCUCUCUCUCUCUCUCUCUCUCUCUGAUCUGAAACUUUUCCUCUCUCUCUUUCACCGAUGCCACCCUCCUUCGCCGAUGCCAUCCCACCCGCCGCUUCAUCUCCGGCUCCGACGAGGUCCGGGAGCUGCCGGAAAACGACUGCAAGAUCUGAACGAUCGCAUCCACCAAGACCCGAGGGGCCGGGCUCGUCAUUCUCAUCGACGACAUCCACUUCGGUCAAGUCCAGUGAGCCCGUCGUUGUCGCCGCCGUCGGUCAACAUCUGCACCGUUUCACAUUGGCGCUGCCUCGAGGAUCCGCGACCGAGAUGUUACCAUCGAGAUAGGACGACUCCGGAGAAGCGUUGCGCUACUACGAGUCCGAAGAGCAGCGUUCUGGUCGUUCUCCAACGUCGUCUGCACACCGUCGCUUGGAAACGUCGAUGCGAGCUGAGCUUGACGAGGCCGACGAAGAUGGAGUCGGGAGGGAAGGUGGAGGCGGCGCCAGGGAGAGGAGGCUUGGUGUUGGUGGAUUUGGAGCGGAGGAGCUCGGUGAGGACGGUCAGGAUGCGCUUGGAGUCCACGUGGACGGUGAAGAGGUUGGGGACGUUGGCGGGGUAGGCGCGGAUGACCUCCGGCUGAUCAAUCUCCUCGAUUGAAAUCCCUCAAAACUUAGGCAGGUGCAUGGCUUUGACUAGUUUUUCUCUCUAUUUUUAUGAGAUGAGAAUUUGAGAAAAGAGGAAGGGUGAAUAGGAAAAGGGACGGUGGAAUAUUGAACGUUGACGAUGUUUAUUAGUCCAGUUGUUUUGUUUUCUGAGUCCUUUCGAACUUAAAAAUGUAUGUUUAAAAUGAUUAUUGACUGACAGUAACUGAUUAUUGGGGGUCAGUAACUGAUUAUGUUCUAAUAUUUCUUUUUUCUAGUAUUAUUAAGCUGAAAUAAGUUGAUUAUUGGGGGUCAGUAAUUGAUUAUUAGAGGUUAGUAACACGAUUAUUAGGGGUCAGUAACUGGUUAUUGGGGUCAGUAACUGGUUACUGGGUGUCAGUAACUAACUGGUUACUGGGUGUCAGUAACUGGUUAUUAGGUGUCAGUAACUGGUUACUAGGUGUCAGUAACUGGUCAGUUAGUGGUUACUGGGUGUCAGUAACUAGUUAUUGGGGGUUAGUAACUGAUUAUUAUGAGUCAUUAACUUGUCAGUAACUGGUUAUUGGGAGUCAGUAACUAGUUACAGGGGAAAUUCCGGAGUCCGGCGAUCGAGGAAAUUCUGGUGACCGGAGUCCGGCGGUCGGGGAAAUUCCAGUGACCGGAGUCCGGCGGCCGGUGACCAGAGUCCGGUGAGAUUCCGGCCAAGUAUUCUCUCUUUUAUUUUCUCUCUCUAUGCAUAUGUAAGAGGUGAGGGCAAAAUAGUCUUAAAAUAAUAUGGUUAAUUUGUUAAGACUUUAGUAAAUAUUUGUGUAUUUUGGCAUAAAGAUUUGUGCAUUUGGACAUAAAAAAAUGCAUCUUAUAUUGAAAUGGGCUAAUGAAAAAGAUUUUCAUUGGAAUAAAAAUAAAAAUUUAAAUUAGUACUAAAUUGACAUUCUAAUGCAAUAGAAUGGUCUGAAUGUGGAGGAUGGACCAAAUUAAUACCGCAGUAAUAUGAUUAGGGUGUCAUUCACCCGGCCACAUCUUGUUGUUUUCGAUUCAAGUAUCAAGCACCCACAUGGCACAUGGAGCAUCCCACAACUGUCCCCGGCGCUAGUAGUUGCCACCGUCCAUCUUCGGACUAGCAAAUUGUUAUGGAUCAUUCUCCUUACCAUGAUCCACGACGUAUUACCAAGAAUACAUGAUAAGCCAUUGUUUCCCCCUUUCUUUUGCGUCUGUGACUAUCAGGACCGGGAGAGAUGAGGUUUAUUGGUCUAUGGUGUGGUGAGGGUACGGUACAUGGUUCGUUAUGGUGUUUCCUGCCUAUCCACCGUUGCAUAUGUGCGAUCGGCGUAUGAAUUUAGGUUAUAUAUAUAUAUAUUUUUUUUUUUCAUUUUAAAUGGUGGGCCUCGCAGCCAACAAAUGCCCGUCACACAUUAACCGUUAGCCCUGUAUGGUCUCCGCCUGGCCCAUAUAAAUAAUUUGUUUUUUAUAUUCUUUUUCUUUCUUUUUUAAAUGGUGGACCCCGCAUUUUGCGUGUAGCGAACCGCCUAGCCCCAAAUGAUCUCCGCCUAAUCCAUAUAAAUUAUUUUUCGUUUAUAUUUUUUUUCCUCUUAAAAUCUGGGAAGAAACCUUUAGCGGCCUUACUGUUGUUGUUGCACAGCCGACUUCUCCGUCUCCGCCACGUAAUUGGACUACGGCCAUGGUCAUAUGUCUAAACUUAACAUGUAUGUGUUGAAUUGAAGUUUCUGAGUCAGAAGGCUGUUAGAGUCAUCGAUUGCAGGUAUAUAUGGUAUAUUAUUGCCGUAUAUAUAUUGGUUGAUUGUUUAGUUUCCGAGUUGUUGUUAAGGAUCGGGUUAAAAAGAUUGAGCAUUAUAUUAUAGCUAUUUAUAGCUAUAAACAGCACAUUGCAUAUCCAUUGAUGAAUUUAUGUUAGUGAUGCAUGUUGGAAUGAAAACUGAUCGGUGUUGGCUAGUUUGGAAUGAAAACUGAUUUGGUGUUAGCAAGUUUCAAUUGAAUAAAGUUUGAAUUGCAUUUUGUAUAUUCUAGAUUAAGUUAUUAAUUGUCGCUUCUGCAUGUUGGUUUUAUUCUUGUUUUAGGACAUUUUAAUCAGGUUUCAUUUUUUGUAUAUGUUACUAUUGAAUUUGUUGUGCUAGGUUUCUUGGUUCUACUUGCUGAUGAUGAAGUUUAGGUCCUGGCAAAGUUGAUAAUUUUGUAAGCUUGUAGGUGUUUUGCCUUGUGUCAUGGUCCAUUACGAAGGGUGAUGAUCCUGCAAAUGCAGCCUUCUCGGAAGUAAGUUAAUCUCAUGAAAUUAUCUCAUCUUUUUAAUCCUUGUCAGAGCUCUAUACAUUUUUUGGUUUAAGCAUACCAGCUUGUGUUUCAAGUCAAAUUUAUUGUUUGAGAUUCAUAUCUUUUGUUUAGUCUCUGUUGUUUUACUUUUAUUCGUCUCUUUGUCCAAUUGUUAUAAGAUCCGAAAACGUUAUAUAAGAUACUAGAUUGAGAAUGUUCCAAGUUCUAAAACACCACAUAAUGUUUCGUUUCGUGCAAAGGGACCUGAGACUGGAAGUCAAGUACCAUAUGGCCUUGCAGGGGAGAGUAGUCUGGUUAAACGUGAUUGACCCAGAUUUCACUGAAAUUCUUAGGAAUGACUAGAAUCUAGUUAAACAUGCAGUUGCCCCGUUGCCCUCAUGGACCUUGUGAGAAUGUGAGUGAAAGCAGCUUCCAGUGUUCCAUUUGAGCCAUAAGUUGGGCCUUUCUGCAACGGUCACCUUGGAGGACCAUUAAGGAACCAAACAAGUGGAUCGGCCCAUUUAUGAUCUUAGCCCUAGUCUAAGCAAGAACAAUAAGAGAGAGACUUGCAUGUCAAACUAUUCACUUCUUUCAUACAUGUAUGCAUAGGAAGUAAGUAAUGGCAAACAGAUGGUAUUAUGUAGGUGAUUGUAAAUCGAACAUAAACAUAUGGUUCCAUUCAAACCGAAGGAAUAUAAUGUACAACUUUUAGUGGGCUAAUUAACACGCAUAUCAAAGUUGCUUCUCUAGCUAGUAAAAGAACUAAGAACAACGUACCCUUAUUAUACUACUCAACAGUCGUUCAUAAAUUAAACAAACUCCAGAUUUUGAGUAAUAGAAAAUGGAGUUGCAUUGGACUUGUCCUACUUCUUUGUCGGCAAUAGACGGUGUGUAUGAGUGCAAUCGCAGCAGCAUCGAAUAUUUUAACUAGUUUGUAGGCUUGGGGAUCGUUCUUUCAUGUGAAUCAAUCACACAUAUAGUUGACCUAAUUUCAUACUCGCCCACUUUUUAUACUUAGAUGCAUCCAUCGCAUGGAGAUCGAGUUGGAGACCUAGCUAGCUAGCUCAUCUUAAUUAUUGGUACCAAAUUCUUCCAACAAAUGGACAAAUAAUUCAAAAAAAUAUAUGCAUAUGUGCACAGGACAAAAUUCAUAUGCAAUUUGAUGGAACUUUUAUUUCAUUAAUGGAAUAAAGAUUGUAACAACUUCUUCUUCUUCUUCUUCUUGUAGCUAGCUCUAUAAUGGAUGGCUGGCAUGGCUAACCUGAUCGUGACAUAUCCACCACCAUCACCAUUGAUCACCAACCAUGCUUUAUUAUUUUACUUUUGUUCUAUAUAUAAAAAACAACACCAACUUUAACGUACACUGUAAAAAUGGAGACACCGAUCGAUCGAGCUGGAAGCAGUUUUCCCACAAAGUAUAGUAGAAGGUCAAGGCAGGUAUACAGAUAUGAUCGAUUUUACAUGAUGGCGCACGCUUGGGGAUUUUCUUCACUGAAACAAUCAGGGCGUGUCACGCAGUAACUACUAGUGGCGUAGCUCCUCCCACCGCCGUAACUAUCGUACACUGGCCUUCCAUAGUAGCCGUCGUACUGUAUGUAUGGUGCUGCCCCACCGUAACCGUACCCAGUUUGGCAGGGACCACCCGGAUGCCCUCCGUAACAUUCCAUACAACACGCGUUCACCGUCACCGGAGGGUAAGCAGUAACCGGAGGCUGAGUAGGCUGAGAAGGCUUCGGCUUCUCUGCGUCCUUGGGUUUCUCUUUAGGUUUUUCAGCCUCUUUAGGUUUCUCAGCCUCCUUUGGUUUCUCAGCCUCUUUUGGUUUCUCUUUAGGCUUUUCAGCCUCUUUAGGUUUCUCAGCCUCCUUUGGUUUCUCUUUAGGCUUCUCAGCCUCCUUUGGUUUCUCUUUAGGCUUCUCAGGCUCCUUGGGCUUGGGCUUCUCGGGCGGCAAGAUGUCGAUGCUCUUGAUGGCGCCACCUCCUUUGCAGCAUAGCUUGUCUCUGAUCUUCUCAGGACUGCAGCAGACCACCUUGAUGAUCACCUGGUUGUUCUUCUCGUCGUACGCCUGGUCUCGUAUUUCUCUUGUUCACAAAAUCCAACCAAUACCAGAAACCACACUCAAUUUACGUUUUUUUGUUUUCUCUGCUAAAAUACACAACGUACCAGAAUGGAAGAGAAAAGAAGAGACUCACGAGGGAAUUUACACAGAACUUUCUUAACCUUCUUGUAGCAUUUUUCACACUGAAGGUCCACCUUCAGAACCAUUAUCGUCACCUGAUGACAUUAAUACAAUCAUUUUUGCAGAAAUUAGAUAGGUAUAGAAUGGUUAAUUACUUCUUCUUCUUCUUCUUCUUUUUUUCUGCAGAAGAAGAAGUGAGUAAUUAAGAAUGGAUCGAAGAUGAUUUGAAGAUGGAUGAGGAAUUUUAUCCAUCAGGUUCUGUGUUUCUGACAGAAGAAUGAUGAGUCGGUUAUAGGCGACAAAUUGAAGAAGAAAGAGCCAAAAGCUUGAGAAUUAAAAAGUGAGGAGCAGCAGCCACAAAAAAUAAAAAUUGAGAGGAGCAGAUUUGAUGCAAUGGGCAAUCAAUCUACUUAUCUAUAUGAUGAGGAAAAAGAGCUGGAAAAGCAUAAACAACUUUCUAGUAGCUAAUGUUAAGAGAGAAAUACCUUUUUUUCCCCCAUUGUUGCAGCAGUGAGAUGGGAUCUGAUGUUCUUUGUGAACGGAACCUUCCCAGCUAAAAUGAUUGAAUAGGACGGGAGUCAGUGACCCGAGUUGGCAUAUAAAUUGAGCAGNNNNNNNNNNNNNNNNNNNNNNNNNNNNNNNNNNNNNNNNNNNNNNNNNNNNNNNNNNNNNNNNNNNNNNNNNNNNNNNNNNNNNNNNNNNNNNNNNNNNNNNNNNNNNNNNNNNNNNNNNNNNNNNNNNNNNNNNNNNNNNNNNNNNNNNNNNNNNNNNNNNNNNNNNNNNNNNNNNNNNNNNNNNNNNNNNNNNNNNNNNNNNNNNNNNNNNNNNNNNNNNNNNNNNNNNNNNNNNNNNNNNNNNNNNNNNNNNNNNNNNNNNNNNNNNNNNNNNNNNNNNNNNNNNNNNNNNNNNNNNNNNNNNNNNNNNNNNNNNNNNNNNNNNNNNNNNNNNUUUUUUUUUUUGGUCAAGAAAAAAAAAAGGGAACCAUUUAGCAAUGUUGACAUAUGCAUGGAGGUGAAACUUUCAAAAACCGCGGGCUCCAGAUAUUGACGAUUGCACGUUUCUUACACCCAGGGUCUUCGAUCUAUUACAUCUUCAUCAUGGAAAAUUAAAUUAUUAUGUUACGUACAUACAUGGAUAUGUGAUGUGGGAGUGGUUCUAAAAAUAACUAUUUAGUUGAAUAUUUUUUUAUUAAUAGUUUAUUACAUAUAUUUUUCAAUUAAUUUUUUAUCUCAACCGUUUAGUUUUUAAUAGAUCAUUUUUUUAAAUUUUCAACCAAAUUUUUGAUCGUUAAGGAAUCGAACUUAAUCAAAUCAAUUGACGAUCCUUAUCUAUUAAAUAUGAGUCGUUCAAGUUUAUAAUCGGUAAAUCACAUUUAUGAAUAUCUCAACGAUUUUAAAUUUAGAUAAAAAUUUAUAGAGAUGAUAUUUUCAUAUAUAUUUACAAAUUAGGCGGUCGAGAUGUGAACAUGUGAUUGAAAACGGAGUGAAACAAAGAAAUUUUCAAUUAGUCUUCAACUUAGUGGUCCUCGUUAGAACCACUCUCAUGUGAUACAAACAUACUUUAUUACGAGGCAAAAUUUUCCUAUCACACCAUCACCACCCUACUAGCACAUGUUCUUUUUUUCUUAGUUGUAUGUAUCAUAUACCUAUAACCUAUCUUCAUAGUAGAUAAUCCCCUUCAUCAUACAUACACGUGUUGUGUUUACACAGCUAUAUUCAAAAACUUAAUUUUAAGAUUAACCUCAUCGUCAUUCUAAUUUAAAAAUAAUAUUAUGAAAUAGCAUGUGAUCGACCUUUGGCUCUUUACUGAUGAUUGUAUUUGUGUGACUGUCUCCUCAAUUUGAUUCUUCGUCCCAUAAAAAUAAUAUAUAAGCGUAAUUAGUCUUUGUACGUAGUAUCAUCGAUCUUAUACGUACAUGGCCAUGCAUUUAUCCGUUGUAAUAUCACUGGUUAUUUGUUGAUGAGCAGACUAUAUGAUAGGUAGCUAUGUAGCAAAUUACUCAAUUCCGAGCACAAAAAUACAGCAAUCAAUUGUUUGUCUUGAUCGGUAGUCUCACUCAAUCACAUACGUAAGUGACCGGAUCACUCAUGCAUGACUCAGCUAGACCUAGAGCUGGAGGGUGGUGUCUUCAUAAGAAGUUGAAAUCUGUGAACACAGCCAUCGAAUAAAUUCAACAAAGUCCUCAGUAGUGGGCAUCGGACAACAACCUUACGCAACUUAGGCUCCAUCGAUCUCAUCAUAUAUGCUUUACAAAUAUUUCUUCUGCCGACAAUUUCACACAUUUUACAAGCCCAUAUGCCAGUCUUCUUAAAUAUAACCAAGAUAUGCCUUCCACUUAGCCCAAUGCAAUGGACCUAAUAUUAAGCCCACGCUAUAUAUGCACAAUCCGGGCCUCCCAUCUAUUCUGUACGGGAAUUAUGAUCGGUACGGUGAGUUUGAGACUCUGACCAGCAUCGUCGACGAUCCAAUGACUCGAUUCAUACACCAUUCAUGUACAAAAAACGAUACGAGUCUAUAACCAAUUUUUCAUCGAGUUUAUUGAGGCUACUGUGCACUUUGAACUCUGCACGACUCAUGCAUCUUCAAUCAUGUACGUGUAGCUAACUGAACCUGAAUCAAAUUCACACUCUUUAAAAUUAGUACUAAAUGAACAUACCUGUUCUCUUCAUUACAUAUCAGUGUAGCCGAUAUCAGCACACAUAGACAAAAGGGUGUUAUAGAGAAUUACAUUCAACUCCAUUCCCUUCUCCUUCAUCUCCUUGGCAAAGAGCCCUUGCUGAUCAUCUCUCGGUAAAUUUUCUUGGCCUGCCAAGGCCUCUUAGCUCUUCCCAUAGAAUCCAACAAAGUAUUAUAAAUAACCAUGUUCGGCUUAACCCAAAUUGCCUUCAUUUCCUCGUAAACUUUCAAGCACCCAUCAUAAUUCCCUGAUUGCCCGUGAAUCUUAAUCAACGUUGCAAAUGUCACUGGAUCAAUGCGCCAUUUCUCUGUCCUAGCGCAGUCAUACAAGCUAAAAGCCUUGUCAACAUUACCGGCACGGCCAUAUGCAUCGAUCAUAGCCGAAUAGGUAACAUCAUCAGGACUACACCCGUAACUAGGCAUCUUCUCAAACCACUCCACAGCCUUAUCAGGCAGAUAACACAUCCUAGCACAGCUAAUCAUAGUCGAAAACGUAACAUUAUCAGGUGUAACACCUCUCUCAAGCAUCUCAUUAAACAGCUUCUCUGCUCUCACUAAAUCCUUACACUUUCUAAACACUUUCAAUGUCACAUUGUAGAGAACCACUUCCCUCUUAGGUUUGAACAUGUGCUGAAAGUACUUUAGAGCAAGUAACGCAUUUUCGGGGUUACCAUGGUAUUAAGAACAACGACAGCAUCUUGUUCCAAAACCCCAUCACCUAAAGUCUUUAAAAUAUCAAAAACAUCACUUUCACUUAGGCAGACAGAGUUCAAGGACUCAGCUACUUUGACUAAAGAAGUGUACCUGGAAUCGUAGGACUUGUUCCUAAGAUGAGAAGCCCUGGGGCUGCUGGGAUUGACCCAAACAUAGCUUUUGGAGGAAGACUCGGAAUUUCCAUCGGGGUUUUCAGUUUUUGGGGUUUCUUGUAAAGAAACAUGGUUUAUUUGGAGAGAAAUUGUGGAGUGAAGAGUAGGGAAGGUGAGAUUGAAGGUGUGAGUAUCAGAGGUGGUUGGCCUGAGCUUUCUAGAGGAGGAGAGAGAGUGAGAGAGAAAGAGAGACGAGGGUGUGGAGGAUACAUGAUAAGCCAUUGUUUCCCUCUUUGUUUUGCGUCUGUGACUAUCAGGACCGAAGAGAGAGAUGAGGUUUAAUGGUCUCUGGUGUGGUGAGGGUACAUGGUUCGUUAUGGUGUUUCCUGCUUCUCCACCGUUGGAUAUAUGGGAUCGGCGUAUGAUUUUAGUUUAUAUUUGUUUUUUUUUUUCGUUUUAAAUGGUGGAUCUCGCAGCCCACAAAGGGCCGCCACACGUGGACCGCCUAGCCCUGUUUUGUCUCCGCCUAGCCCAUAGAAAUUAUUUUUUCUUUUGUAUUUUCUUUUUCUUUUUUUUAAAUCAUGGACCCCGUAUUCUGUUAAGGCCCGCUACACGUGGACCGCCUAGCGCCAUAUGGUCUCAGCCUAGCCCAUAUAAAUUACUUUUCUUUUAUAUUUUUUUUCCUCUAAAAAUCUGGGAUGAAACCUUUGGCGGCCUUGUUGUUGUUGUGUAGCCGACUUCUCCGUCUCCGCCGCGUAAUUGGACGGCAACCAUAGUCAUCUGUCUAAACAUAACAUGUAUGUGCCGAAUUGAGGUUUCUGAGUCGGAAGGUUGUUAGUCAUCGAUUGCAGGUAUAUAUGGUAUAUUACUGCCGUAUGUAUAUUGAUUGAUUUGUUUAGUUUCCGAGUUGAUUGUCAUGGAUUGGGUUAAAAAAGUUGAGCAUUAUAUUAUAGCUAUUUAUAGCUAUAAACAACACAUUGCAUAUCCAUUGAUGCAUAUAUGUUAGUGAUGUUUGAAUGAAAACUGAUUCGGUGUCGGCAAGUUUAUAAUGAAAACUGAUUUGGUGUUAGCAAGUUUCAGUUGAAUAAAGUUUGAAUUGCAUUUUGUAUAUUAUAGAUUAAGUUAUUAGUAGUCGCUUAUGCGUAUUGGUUUUAUUCUUGUUUUUGGUUUAAUCAGGUUUCAUUUUCUGUAUAUGUUACUAUUGAAUUUGUUGUGCUAGCAGGUUUCUUGGUUCUACUUGCUGAUGAUGAAGUUUAGGUAGCUGAUAAUUUUGUAAGCUUGUAGGUGUUUUGCCUUGUGUCAUGGUCCGCUGCGGAGGGUGGAUGAUCCAGCAAAUGCAGCCUGCUUGGAAGUAAGUUAAUCUCAUGAAAUUAUCUCAUGUUUUUAAUCUUUGUUAGAGCUCUAUACAUUUUUUUGUUUGAGCAUACCAGUUUCUGUGUCAAGUCAAGUUUACUGCUUGGGAUUCAGAUCUUCUAUUUAGUCUCUGUUGUUUUACUUUUAUUCGUCUCUUUGUCCAAUUGUUAUAAGAUAAAAAAAUAAAAAAAGGUUAUAUAAGAUGCUAGAUUGAGAAUGUCCCAAGUUCUAAAACACCACAUAAUGUUUCGUUUUGUACAAAAGGACCUGAAACACUGAAGGAAGAUGGUACGUAACUUAUUGUUCCUGGAAUCCAUAACUUUACAUCAACAACUUAUUGUUCCUGUAACAACUUAUUCUUCUUCUUGUACCUCUAUAAUGGAUGGCUGGCACCGUGGCGUAGCUAGCUAGGGGUCAAACGGUUCAAUUGAACCCUCUCAGAUUUUGAAAAAGCUUAAUUAGCUAGCCUUAAUGAACAAACAUAAAUUGACAUUUCUUCUUUGAGAAAUCCUUAAUUAAUCUUAAAUAUUCUUCAACACCAAUAGAAUGAAAUAAAAAUUUAUACUAUUAAAAUACUUAAUCUAAUUAAUACAAAUCAUGUAAAUAGUUUCUUACCUUACUAACGUGUACUUUAAUGCUUUGAAUUCCAUUUACGAUUUUUUUUUUCAUUACAAAUAAGCUAAAUGGAAGCAACACAUUAAUGUUUACUAUGCAUUGACACUAUCUCUAGAAAAAGAAAAGGCAACAUAUUUUUCUCAAUAUUUAUCGUGCAUGAAAUUUCAAAAUUUAUUUAAGAUGAUUAUCGUGCUAGCUAGAGAGUGAUUGAAAAUAAAUUUAAUUUAUUAGGUAAUAAAUUUUGACCAUUCUAAAUAACAUUUCUAGCUACGCCACAGAGGGACGGCUACCUGAUCGUGACAUAUCCACCACCAUCACCAUUGAUCACCAACCAUACUUUAUUAUUUACUUUUGUUCUAUAUAUAAAAAACAACACCAACUUUAAAAAACAACACCAACCUUAAAAAUAGAGAUCGGUCGAGCUGGAAGCAGCUUUCCCACAAAGUACAAUAGCAGGUCAAGGCAGGUAGACAGACAUGAUCGAUUUUACAUGAUGGCGCACGCUUGGGGAUUUUCUUCACUGAAACAAUCGGGGCGUGUCACGCAGUAACUACUAGUGGAGUAGCUCCUCCCACCGCCGUAACUAUCAUACACUGGCCUUCCAUAGUAGCCAUCGUACUCUAUGUAUGGUGCUGCCCCACCGUAACCGUACCCAGUUUGGCAAGGACCACCCGGAUGCCCUCCGUAACAAUCCAUACAACACGUGCUCCCCGUCACCGGAGGGUUAGCAGGAACAACCGGAGGCGGAGGCGGAGGUGGAGGCGGAGUAGGCUUCGACUUCUCUGCGUCCCGGAUUUGGCAGGGACAACCCGGAUGCCGUCCGUAACAAACAAUACAACACACGUUCACUGUCACCGGAGGGUAAGCAGGAAACGGAGGCGCAGUAAGCUUCGGAUUCUCUGGUUUCUUUUCAGGCUCUGGUUCCUUUUCAGGCUCUUGUUUCUUUUCAGGCUCUGGUGUCUUUUCAGGCUCUUGUUUCUUUUCAGGCUCUGGUGUCUUUUCAGGCUCUUGUUUCUGUUUAGGCUUUGGUGUCUUUUCAGGCUCUUGUUUCUUUUUAGGCUCUAAGAUGUCGAUUCUCUUGAUGGCGCCAUCUCCUUCGCAGCAUAGCUUGUCUCUGAUCUUCUCAGGACUGCAGCAGACCACCUUGACGAUUACCUGGUUGUUCUUCUCGUCGUAUGUCUGGUCUCGUAUUUCUUUUGUUCACAAAAUCCAACCAAUACCAGAAACCACACUCAAUUUACGUUUUUUUUGUUUUCUCUGCUAAAACACAACGUACCAGAAUGGAAGAGAAAAGAAGAGACUCACGAGGGAAUUUACAGAGAACUUUCUUAACCUUCUUGUAGCAUUUUUCACACUGAAGGUCCACCUUCAGAACCAUUAUCGUCACCUGAUGACAUUAAUACAAUCAUUUUUGCAGAAAUUAGAUAGCAGGUACAGAAUUUUAAGGAGGUUAAUUACUUCUUCUUCUUCUUUUUUAUGCAGAAGAAGUGCGUAAUUAAGAAUGGAUCGAAGUUGAUAUAUGUUUUCUGGUUUUGAAGAUCGAUGAGGAAUCGAAUCCAUCAGGUUCUGUGUUUCUGACAGAAGAAUGAUGAGUCGAGUAUAGGCGACAAAUUGAAGAAGAAAGAGCCAAAACCUUGAGUUAAUUGAGAGGAGCAGAAUUGAUGAAAUGGGCAAUCAAUCUAUUUAUCUAUAUGAUGAGGAAAAAGAGAUGGAAAAGCAUAAACAACUUUCUGGCAGCUAAUGUUAAGAGAGAAAUACCUUUUUUUCGCCCAUUGUUGCAGGAGUGAGUGAUCAGAUGGGAUCUGAUGUUCUUUGUGAACGGAACCUCCGAGCUAAGAUGAUUGAGUAGGACGGGAGUCACUGAGCCGAGUUGGCAUAUAAAUUGAGCAGCUGACAAUUAUUAUGAGAAAUUAGCUAGCUUGCCCUGUAUAGAUUAUUAUUCCGAUCAUGGUGUGAUGAUCAUAAUGAAUCAAAAGUGGAGUAGGAGUAGAAUUAGAUUGCAAGAAAAGGAUGGUAGUACAUAUAUGGCAUGGGGACUGUUGGGGAGGGUUUAUCAAGCUAGUUAGCUAGAAGAAUGGUCUGAAUGGAUCAAAUUAAUACUGCAAUAAUAUGACUAGGGUAUCAUAUACCCGGCCACAUCUUGUUUUCGAUUUAAAGCAUCAUGCACAUGGAACGUCCCACAUCUUGUUGUUUUCGAUUUAAAGUAGUGCCACCUUCCAUCUUUGGACUAGCCAAUUGUUCUCGGGCAUUCUCCUUUUAAUGAUCCACGCACGUACUACCAAGAAUAGCCGCCAGUGAUUCACACGUUUCGGAUCGAAAUUAGUUUUUCCUUUGUCAUAGAACAUUCGGAGCAAGUGAACCAUUAGCAAUGUUGACGUAUGCAUGGUGACGAUUGCACAUUUCUUAUUUCUUACACCCGGGGGGGGGUUCUUCGAUUCGAUCUUUUACAUCUUCAUUAUGCUACGUAAAUGGAUAUAUGUGAUACAAACAUACCUUAUUUACGAGGCAAAAUUUUCAUAUCACACCACCACCGCCCUGUUAAGCUAGCACAUGUUUUUUCUUCUUAAUUUUAUGUAUCACUAGUCUCUUAACAUAUGCACGUUCACACGUGUGUCAAUUUGUUUUUAUCCUUUUGAUUUAUAUUUUUCAGAUUUUAAUUGCAAAUAACUGUUAAUGCAGUUAUCAUUCAGCAAAAACUGCUACAAGUUUUUCUCCCUUUUUUUUGUUUUUUGUUUUCUUCUUUUAUAUGUUGAAAUUACUUUAUUUUGUUGUCAUUUUACGAUAUUAACCAUCCUUGAUUUUUUUUUCCUGUGUCAAAACUCCUCUUUCGUGGGUAAUAUAGAUAGUUCAUAAAAUAAAUUUCACCAUGACACCAAAAAGAUUGCAUGGCUUUCUAAUAGUAGAGAUAUACUCAUCUUCAUAGUAAAUAAUCCCCUUCAUCGUACCCGUAUUGUGUUUACACAGCUACAUUCAAAAACUUUAUUUUAGGCAUUAUCAUCCUAAUUCAAAAAUAAUAUUAUGAAAUGGUACGUGAUAGACCUUUGGCUCUUUAUUAAUGAUUGUAUUUGUGUGACUUAAUUUGUCUCUUAAAUUUGAUUCUUCGUCCCAUAAAAAUAAUAUAUAAGCCUAAUUAGUCUUUGUACGUAGUAUCAUCGAUCUUAUACGUACAUUGUCAUGCAUUUAUCUGUUGUAAUAUCAUCGGUUAUUUGUUGACGAGCAGAAUAUAUGGUAGGUAGCAAAUUACUUAAUUCCGAGCACAAAAAUACAGAAAUGAAUUGUUUGUCUUGAUCGGUGGGUGGUGUCUUAAUUCCAAUCAUCUGGUAGGUAGCAAAUUACUUAAUUCCAAUCAUUUGUCUAGACCUAGAACUGGAGGGUGGUGUCUUCUUAAGAAAUUGAAAUCUGUGCACACAGCCAUCGAAUAAAUUCAACAAAGUCCUCAGUGGUGGACUGGUGGGCAUUGGACAACAACCUUACGCCACUUCGGCUCCAUCGAUCUCAGCAUAUAUGCUUUACAAAUAUUUCUUCUGCCGACAAUUUCACCCACGCUAUAUAUGCACAACCCAGGCCUCCCAUCUAUUCUGUCCGGUACGGUGAGUUUGAGACCGAUCAGCAUCGUCGACGAUCCAAUGACUCAAUUCAUACACCAUUCAUGUACAAAAACCAAACGAGUUUAUAACCAAUUUUUCAUCGAGUUUAUUGAGGCCACUGUGCAUUUUGAACUCUGAACGACUCAUGCAUCUUCAAUCAUGUACGUGUACCUAACUGAACCUAAAUCAAAUUCACGUACACUAUAAUCCAUAUACCCCUCCCUCUACAACCAACUAAAAUGUACGAUGAUCAUGGUAAAUUGGAGUGUGUAUCACUGUGUCACAACUAUUACAGGGUAAGAAAAAAAUGACCCGUCAAUGGUGUAUAUGGGUUGGCCUUGUGCACCAGCUUGUAAUCCACGGAAGGGCCGGAUGUGAUUUCUUCGACUGUUGUCGAGGCACUGAACUCUUCUACUCCUCCAUUAAAGACUACUACCUUGAUCUUCUCUUGGGGCGGAUGGAACGGAGCACAGAUACAGUUUCCCAUGGUAGUUCUUGAAUAUCGAUGACUGCUACUGCAAAAGAAUUAGGAGUCUCAUCGUUUUAUAGUGUGGCUCUGGCUUUGAUCAUAUUCCACAUGGGAAGGCAGUUUGACGUGCAAGCCAUGUUUACAAGCUUUUAACACCAAUACUAAUAUGGGGUUAUUUUUAGUUCCCAAAGUCAACUAGUUGUGUGCAUCUAGAACUAGGCAGUCUAAACAAGCAUUAUGAUAAUACGAACUACAUCAAAGUCAAAUGGCCGGUCUGUGCAGAAGACCCCUUGCUGAUCAUCUCUCGGUAAAUUUUCUUGGCCUGCCAAGGCCUCUUAGCUCUUCCCUUGGCAUCCAACAAAGUAUUAUAAAUAACCAUGUUCGGCUUAACCCCAAUUGCCUUCAUUUCCUCGUAAACAUUCAAGCACCCAUCAUAAUUCCCCGAUUGCCCGUGAAUCUUAACCAACGUUGCAAUUGUCACUGGAUCAAUGCGCCAUUUCUCUGUCCUAGCGCGGUCAUACAAGCUGAAAGCCUUGUCAACAUUACCGGCACGGCCAUAUGCAUCGAUCAUAGCCGAAUAGGUAACAUCAGGACUACACCCGUAACUAGUCAUCUUCUCAAACCACUCCACAGCCUUAUCAGGCAGAUAACACAUCCUAGCACAGCUAAUCAUAGUCGAAAACGUAACAUUAUCAGGUGUACCACCUCUCUCAAGCAUCUCAUUAAACAGCUUCUCUGCUCUCACUAAAUCCAUACACUUUCUAAACACUUUCAAUGUCACAUUGUAGAGAACCACUUCCCUCUUAGGUUUAAACCUCUGCUGAAAGUACUUUAGAGCAAGUAAGGCAUUUUCGGGGUUACCAUGGUAUUAAGAACAACGACAGCAUCUUGUUCCAAAACCCCAUCACCUAAAGUCUUUAAAAUAUCAAAAACAUCACUUUCACUUAGGCAGACAGAGUUCAAGGACUCAGCUACUUUGACUAAAGAAGUGUACCUGGAAUCGUAGGACUUGUUCCUAAGAUGAGAAGCCCUGGGGCUGCUGGGAUUGACCCAAACAUAGCUUUUGGAGGAAGACUCGGAAUUUCCAUCGGGGUUUUCAGUUUUUAGGGUUUCUUGUAAAGAAACAUGGUUUAUUUGGAGAGAAAUUGUGGAGUGAAGAGUAGGGAAG
rnacentral:lncRNA from 1 species